UUUCGCAAAGGUUUCUUCCAAGUAAAAAUCCCCAAAUCCAUAUCAAUAGGCGGCCCAGUCCAAGAGGCCACCACCACUCUUCUCACGCCUCCAUUGCCGUCGACCGCAUCCAAAGCAUUUUCUACUUACUGCUCAUCUAAGAAAUUUUAGUAGGUCGAUUUGCAUUUUUUCCCCUUCUAAUCUAUUGAGGAGAAACUUAGAUUUACAAUUUUGGUUUCUUCUUUAUUUGGGUUUGUUAUGUGUAUGUUUAAUCAUAAAUUUUUCUUGUUGAUUCGAUGGUUAAACAAUGCACAAAUGUGCUUAUGAAUUUCUUUCGUUUUGAUAUACAAGAAGGGUGUUAAUAUUGGGUUUAAGUCCCUGAACGGUUACUUUUGUUCCCUUCUCUCAUCAUCUUAUUUCUAUGAUACUCUAUACUAGAUUAGAUUAUAGAUAUGAUCUGUGAAACUAAUUACUUUCGUGACUUAUAUGCCAGUUUCUAUGUUGCACAGACUCAAAGUUUAACAAUGGCUUAUUAGAUUACUGAAAAUAAGUGAUACCACAGUUCUUGUUUUACAGUUGGAAGUUCAGUGAGCUGCCUUCCCAUUAUUGAUGUGUUUCACAAUUAUUUCUGGUUAAUGGGUGGUUUUUUUAAAGGAUGUGUCCUCACUCUUCAUGGAUGUUGUUAACUGCAGGGAAAAGAAAAUUUGGACCUGAAAACGCUAGUUUAUUUAUAUCUCAUCGUAGUUUGAUAAUGUUAUACUUUACACGAACACAACUGUUAAGGUAAUAUGCACUAAAAUGUCAAUCUUCUUCAAAAUGAUACAUUUUGAGCAUAUUAUUACACUUCUAGACUUACAAUUUAUGUUGAAUUAUGAUAUGAUUUUCCACCAGUUUCUUGCAUUCAUAGAAUACAUAGUUUGCAGAAGGUGGUUAUCUAAAACGGGAGCCCAUUUGAACUUUGCAAGUUUAUUUUUUUCAUUAACUUUAUAUAAUCUUCCUAGAACAAGAUUGAAUUCUGCUAUCCAUGAGUUUAUUAGUCCUAGUUAUAGCAAGCAAUUUUCCUAUUUGAGUUAUUAAUUGUUACUUGUACAAGGGAAGUACUUAUUCUACGUGAAAAAUAUGUAUAGUAAGUUUGUAUACGGGAAAAUAUGUAUACUAGAACUGGCCUAUUAUAGUAAAUAAUGCAGAUGUAUUUUGUUGGGGGCUAGUUUCAUGAGAACCAACUAUUUCCACCCUUGUUGCUUUCAGCUUCAUCAAAAGAUCCUCAUUUGUUAAAUUUUCUGUUGUAUUUUGCUUGACUAUUAGAAUUUAUUUCAUGAGUUAAUUAUUGCACUAAAUUGGAAGUGUUCUAAAGAAUCUAACUCUUAGAAUAUCCAUUCUAGUAGCUUAUUUUUUUGUUUUGGUUAACAUUGUUUGUUGUUUUACUAAAAAUUACUAACUACAUAUUUUCUUUUGUAUGAUCUAUGUGAAUACAGAGAUAUACAUGCUGGACAGGAGUUGGAUACAACUUUGUAACAGAUUAAGUGAUCAAUAUUUAGAUGGUGUUAAUUCAGGAGACAUCAAAACAAUGUCUGGAUGAGAACAAUGAGGUUCACUGUCCAUGUUGAAAUUGUCAAAAUGCAUUCUUAGUCUCUAUGGUAGAAUCUCAUUUGUAUCAUGCCAAAGUCUCUGCAAGUUAUGAGAGAUGGAUUUUUCAUGGGGGUGGAACUUGAGAAUGAUACGGAGGGUGUUGAAAGAAAUACAUCUAAAUUGGAUGAAGCAAAAAAUGAUGAUGAGAUGAUGAUAUGUUAGAAGAUCUAUGUGCCCCUAAGUCAUCUGAAGCUUACCAAACUCGAGAGGGAGAAGCAUAUGGUAGAAAUCAUAAUUUCUCACAAAUGAUGAUGCGACAAACUUUCUGUGUUGCGAAAUAAAUUUAAUUACAAACAUCACUUGUUGUAUGAUAAAUUGUAUUAUAAAUGUUGAAUAUCUUAAAUUAUAUUAUGCAACAUAUCAAAUGCAUUGUAAAUCAUAUUUCGCCACAAAUAUUACUUGUAUUAAAUAUAUAUCGCUGUGAGCAUG
rnacentral:lncRNA from 1 species